AUUGAACCAUUUAUAGCAACAGCUGUUGAUUGUUUCAAGUGGAGUCGGAGAGUGUAGCUAUUGUGUAUACGUGAAUUGAUUGGUGCUUGCUUUACACCGCAUCAACGCAAAGGACUAUAAUGCAGCGAGAAUACAAAAAGGAUUGUAUGCAGUUGGAUCGUUUAUUUCCAGGAGGAAUUAGUAUCAAUUCUUAUUCUUUCGAUGUCUUUAUGGCAUGCAACUAAAGGAGGACCAGCUCCUGCUGUAACAAGGUUAGAAAUCACAAGUUAUUCAUGCAAUGGAAGAAAUCCUGUCUUUUAUUAUGUCCAGAUGGGAUAUGCAACGUCUACCAUAGUAACUUGGGAUGGUUCUGACAACACAUUGUGGUAUCAUGACUAAAGACCACUAUUGACGAGGUUCAUGACUCCGCGAGCAUUUGGUGGGAUUAACUAGUUUCAACACUCAAUCCUCUCCCUUCAAAUCUCGUGCAGUGGACUAAGAAAAGUAUGCAGAAUAACAAUACAAAAAAGACAGGAUAUGAAAAAGCACUAAACUCUAUAAUAGUAGUUAGGUUCGAUGCGGAUUUUGGAAUGUAAACGGAUGGAAUGAUGAUUUUAGAAUUGAUAAAUAUAAUCUUUUAGUGGCUUGUAUUAAUUCUCUUGAUGUGGAUAUAUUGGGCAUUGGUGAAACACAUUAAAUAAAUUCUAAAUAGUAUAAAUAUAAAAGGAUAUAAAUGGUACGGCCAUAACCGUAAGAAUAUUCAUAUACGUGCGAAAUGGAUCAGGCGGUGUCGGAUUUCUGAUACGCCAAGAAAUUGUAGAUGUCUUUAAUAUUCAAAUGGUGGAUGAUGUCACAGAUGGAAUUUUAUGGAUAAAACUUCAGGAUAAACUAUGCUUGUCGAAUAUAUUCUAUGUUUGUGCAGUGUAUUUGCCACCUGAGAAUUCAACACGAGCUGUUAAUUUCCAUGAUUUUAUGGAGACACUUUAAACAGGGCCGUAGCGUAAUUGAGGCAACUGAGGCAAAUGCCUCACUUUUGAAACGACGACCAAACUUUAGAAGUGUCAUUUUUUUAUAUAGAAACCCCAUUUUACAAUAGAAUGGAUCAUAAGAGGUAAUAGAAACUUCAACAUUAUGCCGAUGAGCAAUUUUUAUUGUCAUAAUAAGAGGGACAACUCUUGAAUUUCAGUUUUGCUGUGUGUAAAGAAUACAUGUUAUAUUUGAACUGAAUUACGGCAUCAAUAUACUGAAAAUAUAUUUUACUAAUUUAUAAACAAGCAAUUGAUAUGAACAAUGAUUAUCAUGUUUAAGUGAAUAUGGGUUUUGUACGACAGCCUUAUCUGUCAAACUUGCUCGAUUUUAAGUCUACACGGUUAAAAUUGUUAGCACGAACAAACUGUUUACCCGUGAAUCAAGUUCAGUAUAGAAUGAAUAUGAGCGAGACUCCCAUUUGUCAAAUGUGUUCAUGUAAAUCUGAGGAGUCCGUGGAACACUUCGUACUCGAAUGUUCUGAAUAUACCCUAAUACGAAACAAGUCUUUUGUCGAUAUCAAUGAGUACCUUAGUACUAACUUCCCCGACUUUUGCUUCACAGGAAUACCGUCCUACGAAAAAAUAAACAUAUUGCUAGGUGAAUAUUUUUAUCAUGUUGAUCCAAAUGUUAGUAAACAUGUGGACAUUUUUAGUAAAACGAUGUUGAGUGAAAUGUACACUUACAGGUCUUCGGUUUUAGAAAAUGAAGCUUACUGUGAUUUGCGUGUGCAAUUAGAUUGGUGUGAACUUUAAAUGUUGAGAUUUUAUCUUAUAUAAUGCUGUUAUGUCUUUCAUGAAAGAUGACUUGUUUUAAAAGGUAUCAAUUUUUAUCUCUGAUAUUGUCUUGUGUGUAUUCUAUUUCAUUGUACAUUAUUCAUCGUAUAUGCUCUUAGACGCAUUUGUGGGUACCCUGCCUGCAAGUGCUCCCGUUGUAAAGGGGUAGUUUCUUAAUAAAUAAAUAUAAAUAU